rnacentral:tRNA from 1 species
GCGUUCUUAGCUCAGUGGCAGAGCACCGUGCGAGGACGCGGGUGUCAUCGGUUCAAGUCCGAUAGGACGCC